rnacentral:rRNA from 1 species
GUGGGGAAUAUUGGGCAAUGGGGGAAACCCUGACCCAGCAACGCCGCGUGAAGGAAGAAGGCCUUCGGGUUGUAAACUUCUUUUACCAGGGACGAAGGACGUGACGGUACCUGGAGAAAAAGCAACGGCUAACUACGUGCCAGCAGCCGCGGUAAUACGUAGGUUGCAAGCGUUGUCCGGAUUUACUGGGUGUAAAGGGCGUGUAGGCGGAGAUGCAAGUUGGGAGUGAAAUCCCGGGGCUCAACCCCGGAACUGCUUUCAAAACUGCAUCCCUUGAGUAUCGGAGAGGCAAGCGGAAUUCCUAGUGUAGCGGUGAAAUGCGUAGAUAUUAGGAGGAACACCAGUGGCGAAGGCGGCUUGCUGGACGACAACUGACGCUGAGGCGCGAAAGCGUGGGGAGCAAACAGGAUUAGAAACCCGAGUAGUCC